ensembl:lncRNA
UUUAUUUUAUUUUAUUUUCAUUUUAGUAAGCUUUACACAUAAAAUCAGGUCAAGUGAGCCAUGGCCUUCAUGUCAAUCAAUCAAAAGGAUCGUGAUUAUACAAAGAAACAAUCUGCUUUCUCCUUUUAUCAUUUUUUUAUUUAUUUCUCUAAUUCUUCUUCGUUUGUCUGUAUUCUUACUCUUAACAUCCAUAGCAGUUUCGGGUUUUUUUUUUAUCAUGACAACUCUUCUUGUGGAACAUAUUUUCCAAAGUGAAUUAGUGAUAAUCAUUCAUUGCUAUCAGCUUCUGUUGAUCUUUGCAUUCAAUAGUAACAAGCUAUGUUUACAAUAAAAGAGCUAGACAGCCUGAUGGGAUAUCAUCUAGAAAGCUUCUGAAUUGUAAGAGUGUGUAAACUAUGCAAAACUAGGUCUUGCCUGAGGGGUGAGAGACAAGAAGCCUUAAAGUGGUGGCUGAAGUGAGAAACAGAGCAGUUUUUAAGAUGUUAGGAAAUUCCAAGGACAAAAACACAGCUAUGCUGGAAAUAACAGAGUCCCACUAAUCUGAAAUAAACAUCUGUGAACAUCCAGCAGAUCUGUAGACAAGAGUUGGCUCUGUCUGCUUGAAUGUUUCAUGUCACGUGGUUGUUCUUUUUUUAAUACUUUCGCUGAGUUUUCCAGGAUUUUCACAUAUCUAUCCAAAGCAGAAACAGCAAAUGGGAAAUGAUGAACUUUCAAAACGUUUUGGAAGUUUUCAGCACCUUGCCAAGAAAACAGAAAACUAAGGCAGAAGUGAAAAAGCUCAGACAGAUGACCUUUCUCUCAAACAUCUCAGCCUGUUUGCUGUUCUACGCUGUUUCCAAGAUCCAGAGUGUGCCCAGCUGCAAGCAAUCCUACAAACUGAUCAGCGCUCACCUGGAAGCUAAUUAGUGUUUGCUUGCAGUUUCACCUAGGAGUUUUAGAUCUUUGAUCGUGGCUGCAGUGUGGUAGAAAAUAUAUCAAGAAGCAACAAAAUGUUGAUUACUGUCCUAUAGUGGAAACUGAAUGGUUAUUUUAGUAAUUUGCUGCUAGAAAAUUUGCUUUAUGACUCUGUCCGUGGCAUUUAGAAAACUGGUUUAACAGGGAUUGAAGCUGGAUUUCUAUGAGCUCAUCCUUGUAAAUCUUAAUAAAUGAUUUAUUCAUUUUGUUUUCUGUGUCACUGUGCCGUUUUUGCAGCACGUUUACCACGAAGCAGAAGUUGAGAUGAAUGCUGCAGCCUGCUACAGGGGAAAAGGAGAACACUGGAAAAAUGAAAAGAAAUAUUUUAAAUGUGUACAGAGAUGAAAGCCUAAGUAAGUGGUAUCCUGAUGCAAGUGUACAGGCAAUCUAACUAAACGUAGACCAUCUCAGCUCUGUGAAAAUGAGACUCCUGCAGUCUCUCGUACACGGAGUAGAUUACUCAUUAAUAAAAGCUGGUACAAAAAUUAUAUUAAAAACAAACAAGAACAACACAGAAUGAAGACUGCGGUAAUUAAUUAGCAAAUAUUCAUUAUAUAGACUUUCAGUGUUUAUUUUUUACCAUGCUACAUUCCUAGAAAUGAUUGCAUUUGGUUAUACCCACUUAGAACUAGUUUAUUUGCCAAGGCCCUGCAAAGGAAAUUCUGAGCAGUUCGAGAUCGGCUGUCCUUAUGGCAUCAUGGUCUUUUGUUUGUUAUCAGUUGGAAUUUAUUGGUACAGAAGACCACCAGCACUUUUCAGGGCUGUUAACAUCACUUAAAUUUAAAUAAUUUAAGUAAGCUCGUUUCUCAGUCCAAGGGAAAAAUAUGCAGGAGUUCCAAAAGAAGACUAAUAGCAAGAACUUAGGUUAGCAUUUCAAAUUGCCUACUGGAAUGUUCUCUAUUAAUCAUCUGGUAAACCGAGGGAAGCUAUUCUUUUAAUUUAGGCAUUUGAGCUAAUUGCCAAACGGGAAGAAUUAUAAACAUGCCCAUUUUCCUUCUCUUUGAAUACUUCCCUCAGGAUCUCAUUUGAUCUUGUGGGUAAUGUACCAUUUUAAAAGUAGCAGGAUUAAGCCUUUAGGAAAAAAAAAGCAACAUUACAGAGAAAAAGAAUAAGAAAAAUAAUUUUAAAAUGGAUCUGGAAAAGGAUUUAGCCGUUAUUCUAUGUCAGCAUUUCAACUGCUUUUUUAUAUCUACGUAAUCAGAAUAUUUGGUUGCAUUUUCUAUAGAGGCACUGAUUUUUUUUUUUCAUCUACCCUCACGGAAAUGAUUACUUUGGACUAUUUUUCAGAACAUAACAAAAAAUAUGUUUUCCCUUCUCAAAUAAUCAUCUAGUUAGGAGACAGUGAGCACAGCUGCUCUUUAAACUAUUCCACAUUAAAGAUACCAGUUGAUAUCUUUAAAAUUCAAGUGGCCAAAAAAUUUAGAAAUGUUUACUUGGUUCACGACUCAAAUGAAAAGUUCUUGUUCAGUUCCUGGCACUUCUGAGAUUCAGAAAUAACCAAGACUUCCCUCAGAUUUCUUCCAGUCCAUUUGUUCAGUAUUUCUUGUAGGUAUUCCAGUUUUCUAAUUUUCUUCAUAAAACUGUAUAUUCAUUAAUAGAUAUGACAGAAAAGGAAGGUUUGAAGUAACCAUAGAUGGCAAGCACAGACUUUUUAACAAGGACAAAAGGCCAUCAAAACAAGCUCCAAUAAACUGUGGAGUAUUCAACUCUUUAUCUUCCGGCUGUUCCUGGAUGAUGUGCCUUAUGAGAAUAACAGCUAUUAAAAAAAUCAUCAAUCAGGCUUUCCAGCCUCAAUUAGGGUGUUGGAUUCUUCAAACACAGGAACCAAGGGUAAACACAGAAGCAGAUGCUUUACUAAAAGACUACCCGGAUGAUCUGCAGGGCUCCUCUGCCUCUACAGAUCCUGGUAUUUUAAAGCCAUCAAAGCAGAUGAUGAGAGCAGUCAUAACGGGAUGCUGAAAACUAGUUUGUAACGGGUGGUCUGGUAUUGUCUUUUAAAUUGGCAAAAUACAGACAUCAUUGAAAUGCACGUAUGUUUACAGUGAAGUCUUACCCACAUUACCAUUCCACUGGUUUCACUUUGUGAAAUUGCAAAUCAUAUGGCUGGUGGAAUUCAUAAUCCCAAGGUCACCAAGAACCAAGAAGACUUUGCCUAGACUAACAGAGCGAGACACUGGGAUGGAAAAUACUACACCAUUCCUCCAAAAAUUAUCGACCAUGAGAAAAAUGACGUCAGUCUGACACAAGUUAAUGUAAGAAGGAAGAUAUCUGGGAGAUGGCCCAGAAAUAUGCAAAAUGAGGUGAACGAAACUGCUUUCAGAAAGGCAUUCUUAUGUAUAAGACAUGAAUAGCUCCAUAUGCAGAACAGUGGUUAACGGGGCAUGUAAUUUUCAAACCCAGCUUCCACAACAGAUGGCUUUAUUUACCACAUUUAGGAACUUUGCAUGGGGGAAUCUACCACUGGAAGCACAGUUGCGUGUACUGCAAAAUGAUCAGAUGUGGGUCAAAAACCAGACUGCCCUAAUGCUUUGUGCCAGUGCUUGUGUAAGAUUGUUGCAAUCUGUCCAAAGCAGAAAAUGAUCCAAAUAAUUAGAUGUGUGUGAUGUUUUCUCUCCUAAAAUAAUUGUAACCAUGUUGGGAAUUAAAACAGGUCAACUGGAACGUCCAUAAGGAACAUCCACAGGUUUCCAGUGCAGCUUUUUCAGUAGUGAUAUUUCUAAUACCUUUUGUUACCAUAAAAACACACAACCACUCAGUCUGUCAAAUUCCUGGUAAACUCUGGGAAAUACAGUGUCAUGUAAUGGUCACAGUGUGCUGAAGAGCAGCUCGGGGAGACAAGAAUAUGGAAGGGAAAUGUUCUACCACUGAAUACAUCAUUCCCAAUGAAUGUCUGGAAUCUAUCAUCUAAUAAGUUUCUUUCCCUUUUUUUUUUUUUUUUUUUUUUUUUUUACAGCUAAAAAUGCUGAUGACCAGUGGAAAGUGACAGAUGCUUUAGCAGAAAGGCAUUCAAACACAAGGCAUCAAAAUGAGAAAAUGGAACACACAGGGCAGACUUUAGCUAGUUUCUAUUACAUGGUCGGGAGCAGUGUUUUAUUUCAGUUUGGACAAGAAAAUCAGCACAACUAAAACAGAGAUGUCUCUUGAGUUCUUGAGUUUGUGGGCAUCUAUGACAAGGUUUCUAGGAGCUGAUGUUCCUGUAUAAAAUCUAAACCUAAAAAGAAACCUAAGUCUGGUUUCUUUCCAUCCUCUUCAUAUGGUAAAUAAUAAUAUUAAUAUAAUAUAUAUAUAUAUUUAUAGAUAUAUAAUAUUAUUAAUAUAUAUGGUAAUAAUAAGAUUAGAAGCAGAGCUAGAGUGUGGGGAAGGUGGAUUUAUGCAUCCUCAGUUGUUAGGGUUUUGUUCUUUCAAAUUUGCAUAAAAACAGAAGUCACUGUUAAUGCAGUUAAGGUCAGUGAACAGUUCUAGAGUGUGAUUUGGUAUUAAAAGGAGUAGGAACAAAUUUCUGUAGCAGUUCAAUCACAAAUCUUUCCUAAAAUGUAUUUGCCUGAUGUUAGUCCCCCAAAUAAGAGCCCUGGUCUUGCUGUAGUUUUCAGGCAGAUCUGUGGACCCAGCUGAAUAUUUAAAACAAGAAAAACAACACCAAUAGGUCAACUGGCAGAUGGAAGGAGAGAGUAUUGCGUUCUUCUUCCCCAUUACCAAUUUCUAAACAAUCAGUGACCUAAAACUAGCACUACUUCUAAGUAGGAAUGAACCAAACAAGAGUUUCAUCAGUUCACUAACAAGAAAUUUUUAAAGGGACACAAAAUAAGUUUUAACCACAUGCUUACCUGAAGAUUACCUGGAAAAAAAAAAAAAACUAAGGGCUUUUCAAUGCUGCUGUCUGUCUUGGGCUAGAAAUGUUUAUUUUAUGUAGAAUCAUCAAACAGCAUAAUCAGGAUCUUGGAGGCCUUCAGAAAAAGAAAUGAGAACAAUUUUAAAUGCAGCCAUAAAUGUAUGUUGUUGCAAGGGCUGGAGAGGUGAUUAAUGUUACUUUGGAUUUGGGAGCUUCCUCAUACGUACAUUUUAUGUUGCUGUUCAAUAGCGAGGGACAAUUCUUAUGUAUUUUAUCAAUAGGGGCAUUCGUUUCUCUAUCUAAUUUCAUAAACACACCAAACAUUUGUUGACUCACUGAUUUUUACACCAUUGGUUAUCUAAGCCAUAUCUACCUCCACUGAAUAAAUCUAAUGUCUUGGCUCCAUUAAAUCCAGUGGCAAGCUGACUUUUCAGUGGAAGAAGGAUUUCAUAUGUUCACAGUAGUGCUGUAAGUUGCCUCAAGGCAGUCUCACUAGGAAAACACAAGAAUACGACAAAGUUUACUGUUUCUAGCUGAUGCAUAUCAAUACGUUGGAAGGUUACGCAGAGCUCGAAUAUGCUGUGGAGGCGUUUUGCAACAUAUCAAUGUCAGAAGUUGCCAGUUCGACACUUUCCAUAAUGAUUUUCAAAGAAAAAGAUCUGGAAGCCAGGAAAAUACAUGGGGAAAGUGUUGUGCAAAUCAUAUCUUUUUUGGGUAACAACGCAUACCAUGAAAUUGUUUUGUUUUUUUUUAAAUUUGGGAGGUACCAUUAACUUUCUCAAAAAAGAAAAGGAUCUGACAACCAGAUUAAUUGAUAUUAUGACCGUAAUGCUUUGGAAUUUUUUUUUCCAUCAAAAUGGUGGAUGGAAUUGGAGGGGAAAACACAGAAGGGAAAAGAGGAGAGAAGGGACGCUAUUUUUUCAUGUCUAUCGCCUCCAUUGAUUUUGUUUUUCAAAUUUUCCUGACAACAGUAUUGUCUCUUCAAGAAAGGUACUUACAUUCUUCCUGUAUGCGAUCAGGCUGUUAAUUACGCUGCAAACAGAUUUAUUCUGCAGUUUGAUGCUAUGUCUGCCUUAGGCCACAUCAGCUGGUUGCGCUGCAGCGUGGUGGAACAGAGACUAUCUGAGCACUGUCAUACUGAUGGUCUUUGUAGGGAAAAGAACAUUUCUGACCCUUAUGAAGCAGCCCUGGUUUUGUUCAGAGCAUUAACCAGCGUUAGGCACCAGAAAUUUACUAGAUUUUGAUUCCAACUUCCAAGAAAAGCAAGAGAAUGAGAUUUUAUUUUCACACGUUCCAUAUCUUGAUUUCCUGGAUCUUUUUUUUUUAGGUGCAGAUUAACAAACAGAAGGUUCAGCAUUAGCUCUCAUUGCUACUUUAUCUGAAAGUCCAGAAUUUUGCUUAACGUUGGCAUAGUGCCAAUGGACAUAAAAAUUCAGAAGAAACUUCAGUUCCAUAAAAUCAUUAUGCUAACAACUGACGGAGUCCCAUGGGAAGCAUGCCUGACGGUCCAAGACAUGCUGGCCAUGAUGGGCAGCCAUGUCACAGCCUCGGCCUUCCGAAGCGAAUCAUCACACUUCCAGAGAGCUUACAGGUUAGUGGAAGGUGAGGAUGGAAGGUCAAGUCCCUGCAGAAGAGUGGAUCCCCACUUUUGCUGGUAGUGCAGCCUUCAAAAGGGGCUUGGGUAGUUUUGUCACGCCUGCAUGGCAAUACACAUGGAAGAAUCUCAUUUUGCCAUUCUUUGAACUGGCACUGUUCUGCUACUUAAGCAGCAGAAAGGGCAGGUAUUUUUAGGCAGAUAGGGUAAACUCUAGCAGUACCAUGCACCUGCACAGACUGUACAUCAAACGGAUAUGACACUGUACGUAUCUGCCCGUCAUUAGGAAAGUACAUACACUGACAGUUGUUUCUUAGUUUAACACAUCAUUAACAAGAGGCGAGCUUUUAUUUCAAAGAAGAGAGAAGACUAACUUAAACAUUAAAAUUGUUUUCAAUCAUUUAAGUUACAUAGUUCUCACUCCAGAAGCUUUGAUCAUGUAUAAUCCCGCUGAAAGGCUGAAAUGUAAUCAGCCUCACAUACAUUAUGUUGCAAUGUUGUGGCACUAGUGCAUGACAGAAUUUUAUUUUCCAUUAGUUCAUUCUUUGCUGGAAAUAUAAACACUCUAUAUGCUUAAUAGUCCAAAAAAUGAAUGUUAUUGCUUUUUAAAAUUGCCUGUUAAUGAGAAUUCUGCUUGCUAUUAAAAAAUCGAGUGCCUUAGGACCAUCUUUCAAAUGCUGACAUACCUAUUUGCAACAUCAACAGCGUUAAACAAUCAAAACAAAAUCAUCCCUGCUUGUGCUUUUACUAAAAGCAACCAGGUUUUCUAACUGAUCAAAAUGGAUGUUUAUAGCAUCUGGGGAGCCAGGACUGACUUUUAAACGGCUUCUCGCUGAACUAUGAACAAUUUUCUAUCAGGUCUGGUGCAGCAGUGUUGGCUGUGGAAACAUGUGCGGAACAAAGAUAGUUACUUUUUCAGGAAGAAAAAAAAAAAGCCUGCUGUUCUAAAGGGUUUCUUUUAAGUAGGAAAGAUGUAGGAAAGGUUGCAUUGACCUGAAUCAUCAAAUGUAUGCCAACGCUUGAGAAAAAGCAAGUUCCUCAAUGUAGGAAAAGACUGUAUUUUACUUUCUCUUCUAAGCGCAUACAGGGUCUGCUUUUCCAUAGCAGCCAUGAGCUCAGUUGGAAUUAAGGAUUCCUAUCAUUUCUAAAGAUCUCUACCACUCAUUGUGACUCAUCACAUAGCAGUUGAAACAACAUAGUUUUUGUUUCCUAACAAGCCAGAUCUUUUAGGACAAUGAACUUGAGUGGAAGCAAGACAAAGUGAGGGAUGAUUGGAAGAACUCCUGUAAAUUGCAUCUACAGUUAAUCCAGGAAUAGAGUCUGGAGAUGUAGAUUCUUUUUUAUUUGGUUUCUUAUCCUAAUAGUCACAGACUCUGGAAUUGUACUCAUACAUACUUUUCUUUUCAUCUUACCUGUAAGAUGUAAUCCAUGCCUCCUUUUCAUAACUCGUGCUGCUGAGGAGGGCAAGGGGUGGAGGGGAGCAGCUGAGGUCCCUUGGUUUGUUCAGCCCAGAGAAGAGCUCUCUCAUGGCAGUUACCUGCUCCUCGUGGCAGCAAAUAUCAACAGAGGUUGUCAGAACAGCUCCCAGCUGGAUGAGAGAACGGAAUCUGGCUCUGUUUGUAUGGUUUUUAAUAAUAUGAAGA